rnacentral:lncRNA from 1 species
GAGGUUGUUCUCUAAACGGUUUUUACUAGCUUUCAGCACGGUGGAGUCAGUCCAUUCCCAUUAGCCCCGUCCGCCAGUUGAGCAGCUCAGAGGAGUUCCAGAGCGAACUUGUAAUCAGGUCGGGUCACGCUGCACUGCCUUCGGCCUGCUAUGAGCUGUUCUGUGCAGGACCCGAACAAGGGCAGUAAACGUUCCCUCAUCUCCAGGGCUCACCACUGCUUCCAGUCCUCUGGCAAACCAAGUGGAAGAACUUCUCUGUCUGGGAAAUUCUGCAAGUAAACUUGGAAAUAUUUACUCACUGGAAUUUGAACCUGAGCCACACAGUUCACUCAAAACCAACUUCCACUAAGCCAACUGACGUUGGGAAAGUUUGCAUGCGUUUGGGUAGUAAAUGAAGAAUGUUAAUGAGUUUAAAGUCUUGUUGUUUUUUUAAUCCAGAACUUUCAAACACUUAUAAAAAAAAAUUACUCCCUGGAGAAUGAAGUAAGACCUUGAGAAUCUGCGAUUGCAAAGAUCUGAUCCAAAUUGGAUCUGAGGCUCUUCCUAGCUGCACCUUCAUUAAAUCCCAUCCGUCCUUGCCUCAGAGGCGUCCCCUGGAAAAUA